rnacentral:rRNA from 1 species
GACGAACGCUGGCGGCGUGCUUAACACAUGCAAGUCGAACGAAGAGCGACGGAAGCUUGCUUCUAUCAAUCUUAGUGGCGAACGGGUGAGUAACGCGUAAUCAACCUGCCCUUCAGAGGGGGACAACAGUUGGAAACGACUGCUAAUACCGCAUACGAUCUAAUCUCGGCAUCGAGGAUGGAUGAAAGGUGGCCUCUACAUGUAAGCUAUCACUGAAGGAGGGGAUUGCGUCUGAUUAGCUAGUUGGAGGGGUAACGGCCCACCAAGGCGAUGAUCAGUAGCCGGUCUGAGAGGAUGAACGGCCACAUUGGGACUGAGACACGGCCCAGACUCCUACGGGAGGCAGCAGUGGGGAAUCUUCCGCAAUGGACGAGAGUCUGACGGAGCAACGCCGCGUGAGUGAUGACGGCCUUCGGGUUGUAAAGCUCUGUUAAUCGGGACGAAAGGCCUUCUUGCGAAUAGUGAGAAGGAUUGACGGUACCGGAAUAGAAAGCCACGGCUAACUACGUG